rnacentral:rRNA from 1 species
AGCGAACGCUGGCGGCAGGCCUAACACAUGCAAGUCGAACGAACUCGUCGUAGUUAGUGGCGGUCGUGUGAUUAACACGUGGGAACUUGCCCUUUGGUUCGGAAUAACUCAGUUAAACUUGUGCUAAUACCGAAUGUGCUCUUCGGGGGAACGAUUUAUCGCCAUUAGAGCGGCCCGCGUCUGAUUAGCUAGUUGGUGAGGUAACGGCUCACCAAGGAGACGAUCAGUAGCUAGUCUGAGAGGAUGACUAGCCACACUGGGAAUGCGACACGGCCCAGACUCCGACGGGAGGCAGCAGUGGGGAAUCUAGCGGAAUGGGCGAAAGCGUGACGCAGCCAUGCGGCGUGAAUGAUGAAGGUCUUAGGAUUGUAAAAUUCUUUCAGAGGGGACGAUAAUGACGGUAACCGGAGAAGAAGCCCCGGCUAACUUCGUG